UGCGGUCGAUACCGGCUUCAUUGUCUACAACGAAGUGACCUAUCCCAAUCUGACGGCUUUAUUCGAUCAUCUGAACGUCCCGACCCAGGUUUCGGAGAUGUCGUUUGCCGUGUCGCUUGCCGACGGCAAUCUGGAAUAUUCCGGCGGGAAGCUCGCGGGCCUGUUCGCCCAGCCGCGCAACGUCCUGCGUCCGCGCUUCUGGUCGAUGCUGAGCGAUCUUCAGCGAUUUUACCG
rnacentral:misc_RNA from 1 species